rnacentral:rRNA from 1 species
CCUCCUGGGGCGCGUUUUGUAUUGGAUGAUAGAAAUUUAAACACUUUUUAAAGUAUCAAUUGGAGGGCAAGUCUGGUGCCAGCAGCCGCGGUAAUUCCAGCUCCAAUAGCGUAUAUUAAAAUUGUUGCAGUUAAAAAGCUCGUAGUUGAAUUUUUGCUGGAAAUAACCGGUCUGCUUUUAUUAAUAAGAGUGGUAUCUUGGUGUGUUUUUAGCAAUAAUGUCCUUUGAAAUGUUUUUUACUUUAUUGUAAGAAGCAAUAUUCAGGAUUUUUACUUUGAGAAAAUUAGAGUGUUUCAAGCAAGCUAACGUUUUGAAUACUGCAGCAUGGAAUAAUAAAAUAGGAUUUUGGUUCUACAUUAUUGGUUUUAAGAACUAAAUUAAUGAUUGAUAGGGACAGUUGGGGGCAUUUGUAUUUAACUGUCAUAGGUGAAAUUCUUA